AUAUUUCGAUAUUAUGUCGAAUUAACUAAUUGCAAUAUGAUUAUCAAACGGUGCAUAUCGACAUCUAUUUAUCAUUUUCAAAAAACUAAAAAUAUCACAGAAUCCGAUCCUAUUCAGAGAUUAUUUCUCGAAAAAAUUAGAGAAUAUACUCAAAACAAACAAAAAUCGAGUAAGAUGUUGUAUGAUGCAUCUCCCGAAUUAGAAAAAAGGAUAAGUGAUGCUCUUACAAAACUAACCAAUCUAUAUUCACAAGGGCAAAAGGAUAAAGAUUUGGAUAAAUUUCCUGAAUUUACAUUUGAAGAUCCAAAAUUAGAGCUUAUUGAUAUGGAGAAAUAAUUUAGCAUAAUGGGAAAAUUGUCAACCAUUUGAAAAUUUUAUUUAACAAUUUUUAAAAUUAUGCUUUAAUUCUUUUAUUAAAAAGAUUAUUAAUUAUGUAUAAUUAUUUUUUUGCUAGUAGAAUAAAAAGAAUUGCAAUUUAUAUUGAUAUUUUUCUGAAAUUUAUACAAAACUUAUUCAAUACUUAGAUUGAUUUUAUUUACAUCUUUAAACAAUGUUAUAUAAAAAAAUUCAUAUUUUCUUUACAAAAAAGUUAACUAUAAACUAUGGGCAAAGCAAAAAACAUUUUGAAAUUUUUUGUUUCUCGUGAGGCAAUAUUUGGUGCAUUGUCACAAAUGAUAUAGUAUUUUUUUAUUCCCCAAAAUGAAAUAUAAUGUUGGCAAUGUUUAUGGCUGGAUAUAACUUGCUAAAAUUUGAAUCCCUUUCUUGUUCCAUAUAAUAUAAUAUCACAUUUUUAUCUAUCCCUUCUUUCAAUUCAUAUAAAUUUUUUAUACAUUACAAGUGAACUGAAUUUUAUUUCUUAAUAUUAGGAAAUUAUGUAUAAAAUAAAAAGUCAUAAUUUUAGUAUAUAUGAGAGCUCAUUAAAAUAUUUUGCACAAGUUUUCCAGCCCAAUAAUAAUUUUGUGCAACUUGCCUGGCCCAUUAAAAUUUGUCUUUUUCAAAAAGUCAAAAUUUAUAAAUGGCCCAAUUUUAUUAGAAAUGGCCCAAUUUUAUACAUAUUUUCUGCCCAUAACAUUUUUAAUAUAUAUAUCGUAUUUUUCCCCAAUGCCAUUUAAGGCCCUAGUAUCUCUCCUCCAUUGCUAUCUAUUUUUACAAGACCUUUUUAUUAUGAUUCUGUAUUGAGCAUUUGUAAUUGGAUCAUAUCACAAAUAAAUUGUUUAAUUUAUUGUUAAUUUACUUUAUUAUCAAUAGAUUAAA